ACCACGUACCUAUAGUCCCAGCUACUUGGGAGGCUGAGGCAGGAGGACCGCUUGAGCCCAGGAGUUCUGAACUGUUGAACAGGAUGCCGAAGGGGUGUCUGCACUAAGUUCAGCCUCACUGUAGUGGCUCCAAGGUUGCCUAGGGAGGGGUGAAUCAGCCCAGAUCAAAAGUGGAAUAGGCCAAAACUCCUAUGCUGAUUAGUACUGGGAGUGCAUAACCACUGCACUCUAGACUGGGCAACAUAGCCAAACCCCCCUCU
ensembl:misc_RNA Metazoa_SRP Metazoan signal recognition particle RNA